ACAAUCAUUUAUAAAUUAAAGUGCUGUGUAAAAUAUUCACCAUAUAGUUUUAUUCAAGUAGAAAUUAUGUAUUAACAUACUUGUUCUUAUUAAUCUUCUCUAGAGAAAAUCUCUUCAUGAAAACAAAUUGAAGAGACUACAGGAGAAAGUAGAAGUCUUGGAGGCAAAGAUAGAAGAAUUGGAAACAGAAAAUCAGGUGUUGAAUAGACAAAAUGUUCCAUUUGAAGAAUAUACAAGACUUCAAAAAAGACUAAAGGAUAUACAGAGAAGACAUAAUGAAUUUCGAAGUCUAAUUUUGGUUCCUAGCAUGCCUCCAACAGCAUGUAUCAAUCCUGCUAGCUUUCAGUCACCAGCCAUGGUUUCAGGCGUGGAGCUGUCUUUUCCUCCUCAAAUGCAGGAAGAACAGCAUCAAAGGGAACUCUCUCUACUUCGCAAAAGACUAGAAGAACUAGAAACAACACAAAGAAAACAACUAGAGGAACUUGGAUCUCCUGGGGAGUGAUAUUCUUGGAGAAAAGGCAGAUAGAUCAAAAGGGGUGAAAUCAGAGACCCAAUAAAGCAUGAAGUUUAACAUAUGUGGCAUUGAGAUACUUUAUUACUGUUUGCCAAAAUGCAUGAGUGUGCCUCAAGAAAAGGUACCAGCUACAUGUUACAUUCAUGAGUAUCAGGAUUUUAGGAUUAUACUAAUGACCAGUGAUACUGGUCAUUUCUUUUAAUGUUAAAAGAAACAUUUAGAAACUAUAUUGACAACCCUUGAGAAUAUAAAAAUAAACAAAAGGAACGAAUUAAGGAAUCAAGUUUUGGAAUUAUUAAUUUUACUUUGUUGAAUUUUUUUGGGCCUGAAAUAUGCCCAUCUCAGAUUCCCUUUUCCUCAUCUUUGGGAUGCUUAAACAUAAAAGUAAACAUCUUUUGGUUUGCUAUACACAAGAAUUACAAACCUCUAGUUUUUGGGAAAAAGAUGAUUUGAAAGACAGCAUAAAAAAAUUUAAAGAUAUAUAUAACUUAAAGAUAUAUAUAUGUUCAUUACAAAAGGCUACCUUUUAAAAAAGCUGUAUACAUAAUUUAUUAAAGAGCUUAAUAAAUAUUUUUUUAUCUAACUAUUGUUUUGUGCUUGAUUUCAUUUUGACCACAGAGUGUAUAUUUAAUAAUUUA